rnacentral:rRNA from 1 species
UGGUGGAGUGAUUUGUCUGGUUAAUUCCGAUAACGAACGAGACCUCUUUGUACUAAAUAGAGCUCGAGAACUUCUACCGGGUGAAGUUAUUUGAUAAUGCUGGCUUGUCCAGUAUUUCAGAUAAUGGAUCCUUGAGGAUUCUCAAUAAUCUUCUUAGACAGACUACUUAUGCGUAAUAAGUGGAAGUUUGAGGCAAUAACA